rnacentral:tRNA from 1 species
AUCUCUGUAGUGUAAAAGGGAACACAUUGGUCUCCAAAACCAAAACUUAAGGUUCGACUCCUUACAGAGGUGCCA